UCUUGUUGGUGGGAGGAAUGAGACAAAUACAGAAGCAAUUUUGGGAACCUGCCUAGCUGGAAUGUAAAAUAUAUGAGAUAUCCACAUCAUGCCACCUACGCUGACAAUUAUCCUCAUCUCCCUCUCAUUAAUAUCUUGGACUCUGCCCCAGGAAGCCAAUUUCUGAGAGCAAAUUCAUGCAGUUUCAAGAUUCUCUGAAGCCAGUGAGUGUGGAGAGAACCCAGAAGCAGCCAAAACACGGAAUACAUGGCAUCUAGUCUUCAAAAACUCAGCAGUAGCCUCCAGCCAGCACAAAGAUGGAAGAUGGAAUGACUCUGACUCCACCUCUGAGAGUGAAUUUGUGGGCUUCUGUAUGCCUCUAGCUCAACUCCGAAUGUCUCCAACCAGCACCAAGGUGAAAGUUGGAAUGACUCUGAUUCCACCUCCAAGAGUGGGCUUGUGGGCUUCCUCCCAGAAUGCUCUUCUCUAAGAGAGAGGGCUUGUGGGCUUCUGUAUCUCCUAGAGUGCUCCUCUCUGACUCUUGGCAAUGUUCCGAACUAACUGACUCUGACUGACUCACUGAAGCUCUUUUUAUGUUCGAUGUAAAAGGUUGACUCCUCCUCUGAGAAUAGGAGUAUGGGUUUCCUCCCAGAGUGCUCUCUGGCCCUAAGAACUUCUUGCUUAUUAUAUGAGCUCUCUAAAGAUGUGAACACAAGCAUUGUUUCUAUCAGUUCCACUUAGUACCUUGAUUCUUCUGGCCCAUAACAUCUCCUUAUAAGAUCAGAUCAAUCAUACGAAACCAUGCUAAAUUAAAUAAUUAUUGUCUCUAUCAACUCUAAUGACUUAACAGUUUGUAAGGAUUCCAACAAAAAAGCAUUAUGUAACUUCUCCCAAACUUCCCUUAACAAGAAACCCUUCAUUCUCUCAGUCAGAUGAGUUCUUUCCUACCUCUAGGAUCAAGCAUAAACUCCUCCAUUCAACUUUUUAAGUCCUUCACAAUCUGUCUUUCCUGGGUUAUUGCACUCCCAUUACAAUACAGUCAAAUUGGCUUUUUUUAGUUUUAAUUUUAUUAUUGGAAUGCACUUCGUCUUCAUCUCCAUCUCUCAGAACACCAAAUUUCCUUCAAGGAUAAUAUCAAGUGUCACCUUCCAUGUAAGGUCUUUCCCAAUUCCUUCAUAUACCAGUACCUAAACACCAAAAUCAAUCUAUUUUGUUUGCAUCUAUACACAUGCCAUCUUCCUCUGAAAAAAUGUAAACUCCUUGAGGGGAGAAAAGGUUUCAUUUUUUUGUAUUUUUGUCCCUAAUGCCUAAGAAAAAGUAGGAGCCAAGCUCGUUGACUGCUCGGGAGAAUCAUACUCGGUGUCAAUUCUCCAUUAUUAACCAUUAACUCAACUAUAGUCAUUAAAGAGUAAAAAAAAUGUGUUUAAAACAAUUAUUGGAAUUAUCACUGAAAGCUCAUAGAGAGCAUCAAGGAGAAGUGUUUUGCAAGUAAUCCUGAAGCAAUUAAGUUUUGCAUUACUUUAUAGAUUUUUUUUUUAAAGUCAAAGGAGUUAGAAAUGUAGGAUCUUCUUGUCCACGAGAUUACAAAAGCAAUUUUUAAACUUUUUGGUCUCAAGAUCUUGUCUACAUUCUAAAAAAUUAA